AUUGAACGCUGGCGGCAUGCCUAACACAUGUAAGUCGAACGGCAGCACAGUAUGUAGCAAUACAUAUGGGUGGCGAGUGGCGGACGGGUGAGUAACGCGUGGGAAUCUGCCCUAUAGUGGGGGACAACCCGACGAAAGUCGGGCUAAUACCGCAUACGCCCUACGGGGAAAGGCUUCGGCCGCUAUUGGAUGAGCCCGCGUCGGAUUAGCUAGUUGGUGAGGUAAUGGCUCACCAAGGCGACGAUCCGUAGCUGGUCUGAGAGGACGAUCAGCCACACUGGGACUGAGACACGGCCCAGACUCCUACGGGAGGCAGCAGUGGGGAAUAUUGCACAAUGGGCGAAAGCCUGAUGCAGCAAUGCCGCGUGUGUGAAGAAGGCCUGCGGGUUGUAAAGCACUUUCGGUAGGGAAGAUAAAUGACGGUACCUACAGAAGAAGCACCGGCUAACUCCGUGCCAGCAGCCGCGGU
rnacentral:rRNA from 1 species